rnacentral:rRNA from 1 species
AUUGAACGCUGGCGGCAUGCUUUACACAUGCAAGUCGAACGGCAGCGCGGGCUUCGGCCUGGCGGCGAGUGGCGAACGGGUGAGUAAUGCAUCGGAACGUGCCCAGUAGUGGGGGAUAGCCCGGCGAAAGCCGGAUUAAUACCGCAUACGACCUGAGGGUGAAAGCGGGGGACCGAAAGGCCUCGCGCUAUUGGAGCGGCCGAUGUCGGAUUAGCUAGUUGGUGGGGUAAAGGCUUACCAAGGCGACGAUCCGUAGCUGGUCUGAGAGGACGACCAGCCACACUGGGACUGAGACAGGGCCCAGACCCCUACGGGAGGCAGCAGUGGGGAAUUUUGGACAAUGGGGCAACCCUGAUCCAGCCAUGCCGCGUGCGGGAAGAAGGCCUUCGGGUUGUAAACCGCUUUUGUUCGGGAAGAAAUCCUCUGGGCUAAUACCCCGGGGGGAUGACGGUACCGGAAGAAUAAGCACCGGCUAACUACGUG